UACGUAGGGUGCAAGCGUUGUCCGGAAUUACUGGGCGUAAAGCGCACGUAGGCGGCUUUGUAAGUUAGAGGUGAAAGCCUGGAGCUCAACUCCAGAAUUGCCUUUAAGACUGCAUCGCUUGAAUCCAGGAGAGGUGAGUGGAAUUCCGAGUGUAGAGGUGAAAUUCGUAGAUAUUCGGAAGAACACCAGUGGCGAAGGCGGCUCACUGGAGCUGGUAUUGACGCUGAGGUGCGAAAGCGUGGGGAGCAAACAGG
rnacentral:rRNA from 1 species